AGGCUUACAAAGAAUAAGUGUCCUGGGGUCGAUUCGUUUGACCAAAGGUGGUGCUCCAGCAAGGCCAGUCAAAUGACUGAAACAAGUAAAAGAAUAAAGAUAUAUAUAUAUACACACACAGAGACAUCCAAUGCAACUGUAAGUGAACAGGACCCAGCACCAACUCAGAGUUCAGUAGUUCUGUCUUUAACUCCGCAUUAAGUUUAUAACCACAAGACUUAAUACCCAGUGGCACAGUCUGCUUAGUUGUAAGUGGGUACCACUAUGAUUGAAUUCAGUAUUAUUAUUAUUAUUAUUAACAAGAAGGUUUUGGUACAUGAACUUGCAGGUGGUAAUUCUAGUUUCUCUUGCAAGUAAAACCACCUGCAACAGGCCAGGAUUCAGCGGGAAAACUAUGUCGGGCAAGCAUUGCUAUCCAGGGGGUGUGUGUGUCUCAUUUGCCUCACUUUAGAUAGGGAGAUAUAAGUUAUUGAGUAAGCCCUAAAGAACUUUAGUUCCUGCACAAGAUUAGCAAAAUAGAAAUACGAGUAAUUGGCUGCACGAGCCGAGACUCAUGCAAAUUUUUGUCUUGAAGGACAAGUAGAAAUGCGCAGCACGAACCACACAAAACGUGCCAUCUUUAAGGUUAAGAAAACCAGUUUCCAUAUUUCUUUUGCUUUCUCUUUUUUAAUGAUUGUCAUUUUACUUGUAACUUCACCUUUUGUUUUAAAAAGCGAUAAAAAAUUAAUUUUGAGUGAUUUUUUGGGGUUGGACUGGAACAGAUUAAUUUUAGCUAAUUUCAAUGGAGAAAAUUAAUUAGUGAAACAAGGUCGGUCGUGGAAUGAAUUAAGUAAGGUCUUACUGCAAGGUGUCUUUGUAUUAGGGUCUUCUUUUAACGCAAUCCCUGAUCGGUUAAAGACUAUCAGUUCUUCUUUAUGGGAGCACAAUUCGUUACUUAAAAGAUCAGGUCCAGAUUGUUACCUUUUGGCUGUAAAUAACUUCAGGGAGUCAUUUCAUUUUUCCAUUACAAAGAAAGAAAAAAACAAAAAAUAUUUAAAAAAUUAAAAUGAAUAAAAAAAAUCUGCUGAAAUGUGUGUGUGUGUGUGUGGUGACACUCAGUCUAGCUUGUGUGUUUGACGAAGAUGUGUAAACUCAAUUCCAUUCCCUUCUCUGCUGUCAGGGGACAGACAGCACGAUCCUUAAGGGAAGAUGUGGCUGUCAUUCAUUGAAAGAGUUAAGGAUGCACUGAACGUUUGUUGGUCGGCUGUUUUGAACUCUUUGCAGUUUGGGAAGAGCUGGAAAGGAAACGCAGAGUGUUGGUAUAAGGAGGAGUGUGCCAUGAGUGUCACAGAGCGGCAUCUGAGCAUCGUGUUUCACACAGUGCCAUGUAAAUAUUGUUAUUGAUGGGAGAAGACUUGUGUUGGGUGGGUGGAGGCUUGCUUUGUUGUAGUGUUUUAUAAACGGGAAGGGUUUUAGGGGCAGCUCGGGUUGGGGGGGGGAAGUGGCCACCCGGCUCCUGCCGGGUGCUACACCUAGCGUAUGGGAAUGGAUGGGGAGGGGGGAUUGGGGUUAGGUGUUAACUAGCGUGCACCUAGAGUCCAAAGUGAGAACACCCACCAUGAACGGCAAGAAGUGAAAGUAAGUUUCCCCUUGCACGUAGAGAAUGUACGGGGUAAGGAGGGAAAAAAAGGGGGGGAGGGAUUGUCUGCAAAAACUACCCCCCCGUUUUCUCCUCCCCUAGUGUGUUUAUCGUGGGGGUGGGUGGGAAACAGUAGCUACCCAGCACCUUAAAUCGUUUAGAGUAGCUGUGUUUACACUGCUUUGUCAGUUCAAAUUUGUUUUGGUUGGUUUGUUUUUUUUUAAAUUCAAUGACUAAAGAAAAAAACAAAAAAAAUAAUUUGAAAAAAAAAAGGGAUAAAAAAGGUAAUAAUGCUGUGACACUGUUUAUUGAACACUGGAAUUUUUUUUUUUUUUUCUCGCUCCAUUUUGUUAAGGGUAUUUCGUCCACAGGUGGGGUGGCAUUGUCUUCAUAUGUUGUAAAAACAACAAACCCUUUUAUAACAUUUUUUAAAGAAAUAAACGUAUCAGAUUUGA
rnacentral:lncRNA from 1 species